UUUAGGCUAAUUUGGGUUAAAAACGGUUUGGGCCACAUUAGGCUCAUGUAUUUGGACUGUUUUUAUUGGACUUUUAAUUUUAUUUAUUAUUUUUUCUUGUUUUUUUUUUUUGCUUAUUCUGAAUGGGCCCCGGGCAAAUUGGGCCUAUUACAUGUAUAAAAUCAUAUUAUAAAUACAUCAUAAUUUAUUCUUUAAAAAACUC
rnacentral:lncRNA from 1 species